CGGGGAUUGGCGCAGCGGUAGCGCGCACGGUUCGGGACCGUGAGGCCGUGAGUUCAAAUCUCACAUCCCCGACCA
rnacentral:tRNA from 3 species